AACAGGAUUAGAUACCCUGGUAGUCCACGCCGUAAACGUUGGGCGCUAGAUGUAGGGACCCUUCCACGGUUUCUGUGUCGUAGCUAACGCAUUAAGCGCCCCGCCUGGGGAGUACGGCCGCAAGGCUAAAACUCAAAGGAAUUGACGGGGGCCCGCACAAGCGGCGGAGCAUGCGGAUUAAUUCGAUGCAACGCGAAGAACCUUACCAAGGCUUGACAUACACCGGAAACGGCCAGAGAUGGUUGCCCCCUUGUGGUCGGUGUACAGGUGGUGCAUGGUUGUCGUCAGCUCGUGUCGUGAGAUGUUGGGUUAAGUCCCGCAACGAGCGCAACCCUCGUUCUAUGUUGCCAGCGCGUUAUGGCGGGGACUCAUAGGAGACUGCCGGGGUCAACUCGGAGGAAGGUGGGGAUGACGUCAAAUCAUCAUGCCCCUUAUGUCUUGGGCUUCACGCAUGCUACAAUGGCCGGUACAAAGGGCUGCGAUACCGUAAGGUGGAGCGAAUCCCAAAAAGCCGGUCUCAGUUCGGAUUGAGGUCUGCAACUCGACCUCAUGAAGUCGGAGUCGCUAGUAAUCGCAGAUCAGCAACGCUGCGGUGAAUACGUUCCCGGGCCUUGUACACACCGCCCGUCAAGUCAUGAAAGUCGGUAACACCCGAAGCCGGUGGCCUAACCCUUGUGGAAGGAGCCGUCGAAGGUGGGAUCGGUGAUUAGGACUAAGUCGUAACAAGGUAACC
rnacentral:rRNA from 1 species